rnacentral:rRNA from 1 species
UACGGAGGGAGCUAGCGUUGUUCGGAAUUACUGGGCGUAAAGCGCACGUAGGCGGCUUUGUAAGUUAGAGGUGAAAGCCCGGAGCUCAACUCCGGAACUGCCUUUAAGUACUGCAUCGCUUGAAUCCAGGAGAGGUGAGUGGAAUUCCGAGUGUAGAGGUGAAAUUCGUAGAUAUUCGGAAGAACACCAGUGGCGAAGGCGGCUCACUGGACUGGUAUUGACGCUGAGGUGGCGAAAGCGUGGGGAGCAAACAGG